UACGAAGGGGGCUAGCGUUGUUCGGAAUCACUGGGCGUAAAGCGCAUGUAGGCGGACUUGUCAGUCAGAGGUGAAAUCCCGGGGCUCAACCUCGGAACUGCCUUUGAUACUGCAAGUCUUGAGUCCGAGAGAGGUGAGUGGAAUUCCUAGUGUAGAGGUGAAAUUCAUAGAUAUUAGGAAGAACACCAGUGGCGAAGGCGGCUCACUGGCUCGGUACUGACGCUGAGAUGCGAAAGCGUGGGGAGCAAACAGG
rnacentral:rRNA from 1 species